GUAUGUCAAUGGUCCAAUGUCAAAUAUGAAAUGUUUGAUGUCUGACAUGAAAUCGAUUCUCCAUGAAACGAAUACGAUUACUCUUUGCUGCAAAUUCUGGUGUCUCAAUAAUUGCAAUUAGAAGAAAAGUGUUGAGCGAUCAUCAAAUACAGUCAGUAGAUUACGAGAUUGGCUGUGCUCCAUUACUGGCAAUUAGCCAGCUCAUUAGAGACGAGGUGGCUGACUGGUAUUCUACUAUAUCACCUCACAAGUUGGUUUGUUUAAGUGUUGUGGCGUAAUUGCUUUAAAUAUAAUCCAGCUAUCAACAUGUAGCUUUUUAGCAAACUAAA
rnacentral:lncRNA from 1 species